rnacentral:rRNA from 1 species
UACGUAUGGAGCAAGCGUUACCCGGAUUUACUGGGUGUAAAGGGAGCGCAGGCGGCUUUGCAAGUCUGAUGUGAAAGGCCGGGGCUCAACCCCGGGACUGCAUUGGAAACUGUAAAGCUAGAGUGCCGGAGAGGUAAGCGGAAUUCCUAGUGUAGCGGUGAAAUGCGUAGAUAUUAGGAGGAACACCAGUGGCGAAGGCGGCUUACUGGACGGCAACUGACGCUGAGGCUCGAAAGCGUGGGGAGCAAACAGG